GAAAGAAGAGGGGAGGCGCUGUGCAUGCUGACUUGUACCUGGAUCUGGGUGCACAGUGCGUAUGCACUCCUGUGCCGCUGGGCGACUUCCAUAACGUCCGCUCCGGGGUUACUCCCAGAAACUCGUAGAAAGUAGAAGGGGGUGAGAAGAGGACACACCCCCUUGCUCGGAGGGACUUGGGAGACUUUGAAUUUCCCCUCCCCCCACUUUUCCGCAGAGCUCUUCUUUUGUUGUCAAGUCCUUUUGAUAAAUGGUGGGGCUGGGAGAGCUGGGAGCCAGGAGCCGAUCUGCGCCCUGCGCAGGGGCGGGGGCCCAGCCUGGAGACCGGGUUCGGACCACCGCGCACCCUGAGCUGAACCGGGCACGCUCAGGGGACUUUUCCUUCUGUUUGCCAGCCUAUUUCUUUCCUACCAUCCCAGUCCCCCUUCCCUUCUGUUUCUGUCCACGCGGAUAACGAGAACUUUCUGGGGUGGGGGUGAGUUAUAUAAUUUUCUCGUAAGUAUUCUUUCACAGAGUUUUGAUUUUAUUCCUUGAUUCCUUAGGUUGGCAAAGUUAAUGGGAUGGUAACUCGAUUAAUGGUAAUUUGGAAAGAAGAGCGGCUGGGGCUGGUGUGUGUGUGUGUGUGUGUGUGUGUGUGUGUGUGUGUGUUAAGAACAUUGGCUGUUUGUGAUCCUCCUGCGACAAUUGAGAAAGGUAAAUUUGUGAGACUAUGGCAAGAUCACAGGCACCUUUGUGAAGGUGCCUGAAUGAUCUCUGGAGUAAGAAGUCCAGCUUACGUUUUGGCAGAAUGGCAACCCCAAACUCUGCCGGGUAAGGUCUCUGAAGCUGCUUGCAGCCUGCGGGGUGUUAGUGCCUGCCGGUGUCUCCCACUGUAUGGCUCUAAAGGUGUCACCCUCUGGUCAGCUCCUGUGGUCCUAGCAUAGGAAGCUAGGCCUUGGGCCACCUGCCAUAUUGGCCUCUUUCAUAGGCCUGGAGAGUGAGAGUUGACGCUGUGGACAGAACUGAGGAGAGCAGGAGCAAGCGCGGGCCUAGGGUGUCCUCUUCGCUCCGGGGGUUCAGUUUCUAGGCUCAGUUUGUCUCUUUUCCUCCAAUUCCAGUAGUUUUCUCAUUGCGCUGGGCAGUUCAAGGGAGGCCACCCCAGCUCUUCAAGACUGGUAGAAUCGUGGAAUGGCUCUCGUCCCACGUAGAUUACAUGCGCUCACCGGUGUGCGCCGCCGGGCUCCGUGAGCUCCGACUGCCGCGUUAAAACUCAACUCCGAAGGUCGGAGCGCACGGGGGCGCCUGGGGGUCUGCGUUCCCCGGGCUUUGGGGAGGCACCAGCAUCUGAGCCUGCGCACCUCUCAAGGGAGGCCAAAUCUCUGAAGGCCGAGUAAGCUGUGGAAGUUGGAGGGGGUGUGGGGGGAUAUAUUGUUAUUAAUUACUUCAGGCUAGGCCUAAUGCUUCCAACCCUCAGAGGUGGUUGGCAUGGACGUCCUGCGGAUUUUAUUUGCACACAAUGGACAUGAUUUGUUUUCUAAAAAAAAAAAAAAAAAAAAAAAAAGGGUGUGGGCAUGGCAGAUAUUUGAGGAGGAGGUGGAGGGAAGAAGGCGGAAGGGAAGAGAGCCGAGGAAAAAAGUUUGAAAAUGCCUUGAACUAUUCACUGUCGAGAUGGCUAAUCAGUAUUGAGGCCGGAGGGCAGGCGGGCCGCCUUUCACCACCGCUUCCCUUUCAUCUCUGGCUCGGCGGAGGCGCUCAAUUAAAAGCCUAUCAGUUUGUAAGUAAAUCAACGCCUAUCAGAGUUGUCACAUCAAACAAAACGAUUAUUAUUGCAGCCCGCCUCCCCUAUUAAUCUCCCUCGAAGAUAAUCCGCCUGACAGGUCAGGCCCGGCAAGUUGGAAAGCCUGGCCCAGAGCGCCCUAAGAGUCCUGGACUGGAGCAGGCCCCCAGGGGUCUCUGCACCCAGGUUCUGUUCCGCUGAGCAAUCCUUCCUGGAAGAGUGAGGGAAAGAGCAAGCUGAGGCUGCUGGACCCAUUCCCUCCCCACCAAAUUACAGUUAGACGCGAGAUUCCCAGGGGCCGCUGAGAUGACGGUCACGCCCAAGCCUAACAGCUUUUCAAACCAGCGAGACUUAGGGCGGGACGAGACUUGUGGCCCGGCUUAGUCCUGGGACCCCGACAUAGUCUGCACUCUUCUGGGUUUGCCUCUUUUUGUUUCCAUUAUAGUUUUUUUAUUUUAUAUUAUUAUAUUAUUUAUUUUUUAACUCUCUGAACCUUUCCCUCUUCAUUUCCUCUCUCUUUUCCUUUUUCUGAGUUGUCAGGGAAUAUUUCUUAUUGCCUUACUCCGCCUCCCCUGCCUCCCCGCCUGCUCCACGUAUAAAUGUCUGCAUGGCAGUCCUGUUCUCAGGAGCAGGGCAUUCUCAGGGCCCGGGUUCCUUCUUUCUCCACAGGAGUGCAUGCGAGUCCCAGGUUUUCUUUCUUUCUUUCUUUUUUCCUGCAAAUAAAUAAAUAUUCCCCCUAGUUUCUUUCCCAAGUUAGGACUUUUAGAGGCUCAUAAAGGUUUUGUGUAUUUGGGGGACAGGGAAUUAAUUCAGCCAGUGCAGGAUAGCUAAAUAUGUGGGCUGUUGCAAGCCCCCUGUUUGGGAUCAGUAUCUUGCCCCGGAAUUUUACAGUUCCAGCCUUCUUGACCUGGCCAAUAUCCUCUUUGGAGCUUCACCGGGCGUUGGGAUCUCAGCACUUAGUGUAUGAAGGAGUGCUUAGGAUUUCUUAGUAAAUACACCUAGGUUAUUUCUUCUAUGACCUCAAGCUAGAGCCUCAAGGACUGGAAGGGGUUUGGCUUCUAGAUCUCUGAAUUGUGGCCUUCUUGCUGGUGUCUCUGGCUUCCCAGUUUGGUAAUGUCUUGGAGUUGAGCACCAACCACCUUUCUAUGAUAUGCUUUGGUCUAAGCUCAGACCCAAGUGGCCACUGCCAGAACCGGACUAAGCCAGGACUGGGAGCUGGCUGAAGUGUCUGAGGUGAAAGGGUGGUUGGAGGGAUCCAGGGCCUACUAAUUUAAAUGCCAGAUCUUCUCUAAGACACUGUCUGGGGUCGCCAUCCAUAAGCGCCCCAAAGGUGCUGUGCAGUUGAACAUCCACACUAAACAUCCCCAGCUGGCAGCUGUUUUGCUGGGAUUGAAGGCUGGGACUAUCCAACAAGACCUAUUUCAGACUGCUUGGUGCCCUGGGCUGCAGGACUAGGGAUCCCCACACAAGCCCCCUCAAAGUCCCUCAGUUCGUACUUACUUUCCAGUCUUAUGAAAAUAAUUUAUUUCUAAACUCAGAAAUACGGUAUAUUUACAUAUGCAUGUAUGUAUAUAUAUAUAUAUAAUAUAAUGUAAUAUAUAUGUGUGUAUACACACGCAUACAUAUAUAUAUAUUGAAUGAUGCACGGUGGCUCAGUUAUCUGCCUACCUGGAUUUCUUAUGCAUUUAUUUAUGUCACCUCCACUGUACUGCAGAUACCUAAAGAGCUAUAGACAGAGCUCUAUUCAGCUCUGGCUGUAGGAAAUAUUCACUAGGUGAUUAUUAGACAUAAGUUCUAGCUUGGGCCCCGAUAACACUCAAGCAAGGAAUGUAAAAAAAAUACAUCACAAGUAAGGACAAAACCAAACCAACCCUUGCUUUAUAAUUUUCCCAAUUUAAUUAUAUGUGCACCCAUUUAGAAUGUAAGAAUAUGUAUUUUUAUCCUAUAGGCAUCAAUUUCCAGACUUAUGUGCCCUUGAAACCAGAAGCAAUAAAUGGUGUUGGUACUGAGCACUGAGAUGUUUGUAUAAUUUUACCUUCACAUGGAUAAAGCUUACACAUGGCUCUGCAAUAAAUUCAAUCUUGUCAUUUUUAGGAUUGAGAGGAUAUCUCUGGCCUUCGUUGGUGUCAUAUUAAACUGAGUAAGUCCAACCAGCAGGCAUCCAACUGAAAAUGUCUCCCGGGUGGCAUGUACCGGUGAGCCUAGGCUCAGUUGCAGGCGCGAGAUGACUCCCCAUGCCUAGGAGGUAGUGGUUUCAGCCCUACUGUUCUCUUGGUGCCCAAGGUUUCAUGGCCUAGUAGCUCAAGCUUUAGAAACCUACAGGGUUUCUAGAGUCCGCCCCCAGCGAAAACUGAAAGCAAAUUCCACAGCAGAGUCUGAACUUUGCUUCAAGCAAGUUUUCUCCAGAGAAUUAGAGGUGGCUUUGGGAGGCCAAAGUUAGUGUGAGCACACGAGGGAGGGGACCUGGUGGCCUAGCUUGGCCAGAGGCAAAUUGAAGGCACCCUCUUCCUUAUUUCUGUUACUCCUUAGUGCCCACCUCCGGUCUGCUGCCGACGCCCAGCAUGGGUGUCUACAGUUCGCACCGGGUGGUAAAGGAGAAGUAGCUUUGUACAGAGCCUUGCUCAGAGUACUCUGCCUGAUCCAGCUUGAGAAAAUUUGAGUCCAGAUCACCUUCUGCGGGGAAGAGUGGUUAGAAGUUAAUCCGAGCAGUCCCUGGCCUAGCUCUGUGUCCUAACUUCCAGCUAGCGUAUGAUGGGGCGCGGAGAAAAGCUGUGUCUGGAAGCUGAGCAAGCCCUGGGACUUCGCUCCCGCUGACGACGUUGCUAGGCCUCCUGAGGAGGUCCGCUCGGCUUGGGACCAAGUGCAAGUUUCCUAAUCUUGGGGGGGGGGGGAACCAAAAGAUAAUUUGUAACCUUCUUUGAAGCUGAAGCCACAUUUUCCAAGGAAGAAGUUUAAAAAAGGAAGAGUUUAACAAACACAAGUAAUAAUAACAACCCAUCGUGUUUCGUGUUCUUUGCCAGUACAUCGAUUUUAUUGAUUUUCAUUCUGCAAACAUGGGAGUGUGCGCACCCGGUGGGGCAGCUGUCAGUACGCAGUCACCACGCAGAGUGGGUGGGGGAAAAUCCUCAGUUGUCACCGCUCCAUCUCCCACCCCAUCUAUUCAGUUCAACAGCUUCCAGGCACAAUGGAGACUGCUCAAGACGCGGGGACACAAAUGAUCCGGUCCCCAAGCUGAAGGGCUUCAGUCCCGCCCCUUCUAUCUGCCCAGCUCCAGCACCAUUCCGGGGCUCCGCGUUCUCUCUCCCCCACCACUGCAGGAUCAACACAGUCUCUACCUCUCUCCAAGUCAAUCUUUCCCUGGAGGCACCUACACCUGCGCCCUUACUUGCCCACACUUUACCUGUGAGCUUCUCAGCGGCGCCAGCGGCCCCGCGGAUAACCGAGAAAGGAUGGGGAGGGCGGGAAAGUGGGAGGGUCAGAGAGCAGCCAGUUGUUCCGAGCCAGGAUCCUCCUUCUAGACCCGAAGCUGGGGUGCAGGUUUAAGUCGCUCUAGGAGCUGAAUUGAGCGCGGGAGGGAGACCCAGGGGUGGGCGGGCCCAGGGCCAGCAGCACUUCCGCUGGGGUGGGGCUGAGGGCUGACGUGGGCUCCGCCCUCUGCCGCGUCGACCCGCCUCCUACAAUUCAGUCUUCAUAGCUGAGAGUUUCUUCAGUACCAGUCCAAAGCCUGAAGGCAGUGGCAGCUCCCUUUUCCUACCUGCCUUUACUUUCUUUUUACAUCCUGAGAACAGAAGGACCUACUAUCAAGAGCCUAGGCCCCAGGUAGAGUCCACCCCCCACCCCCAAGAUUUAUCCAAACUUCCGUCCUUUGGUGGACUCACCUGGUGCAGAGUCCUCCACGCUUUCUCUGGUAUUCAACCAUAGGUUCUGUAGAAUAGGUGGGAGUACAACCAGUGCCUCCGGGGUCUCAUCUUUCAGUAGGAACAAAACUGUUUUUUCCACAUUAAGUACUUUUAUGCAACUGCAUGUCAUUAAAUAAAUCUACAUCUCAUUUAAAGGAAGUGACCAUUCAUGUGUAAUCAGUUGUCCAAAUUAGAGCAAGAAGUCUGUGGAUGGGGAAACAAAACAAAGAUGAAAAACAAAGGACAAAACACUAACACUUUUUGAUAGAUUGUUUUGUGUCUGUACUAUAAAAGAAUUCUGUGUGAAUUAUGCCCUCAAAGCAACCCUCUAAGACAGUUGCUGUGAAUAUCCUGUUUUAGAGAUAAAUUGAGCACAGAGAGGAGAUAUCGGCCUUGCCUUCCUCACAUCCCUUCCUUUCUCUUCAGAUCCUGGGGCAAGACUUCUGAAGUCUGGGAUGUUUGCCCUGCUAACUGGAUGCAUGUGGAGCUGAGAGGAGCACUGAAUUGUAUAGAGGAUUUGAGAGGUGUCACUGGAGUGGCCUCCUGGGAAAGCUGACCAUUGAGCAUCCUGGUUUCUCCCCGGAAGUCUCAGCCAGG